rnacentral:rRNA from 1 species
CAACGGCACCACGAGGGUUGUACUGUCUCCUUUUUCUAAUCAGUGAAACUAAUCUCCCCGUGAAGAAGCGGGGAUACUACUAUAAGACGAGAAGACCCCAUGGAGCUUUAAACCCAACUACACCCCUAUUUACAACAACUACUUAACCAAUUGGACACUGUAUGCUUGGUUUUAGGUUGGGGCGACCACGGAGUAAAAAAUAACCUCCACGAUAAAUGGGCUUACCCCCUUAUCUAAGAGCCACACCUCUAAGAAUUAAAAUAUUAAUAUAAUAUGAUCCUUUCUUGAUCAACGGACCAAGUUACCCUGGGGAUAACAGC